UACAGGGGGGGCAAGCGUUGUUCGGAAUUACUGGGCGUAAAGGGCUCGUAGGCGGCCAACUAAGUCCGACGUGAAAUCCCAAAGCUUAACUUUGGAACUGCGUCGGAUACUGGAUGGCUUGAAUUCGGGAGAGGGAUGCAGAAUUCCAGGUGUAGCGGUGAAAUGCGUAGAUAUCUGGAGGAACACCGGUGGCGAAGGCGGCAUCCUGGACCGACACUGACGCUGAGGCGCGAAAGCUAGGGGAGCAAACGGG
rnacentral:rRNA from 1 species